UCAUAUCACAUUGAAACACAAGUUCUCGUACUAUCACCGAAGUUAAGCAACGUCGGGCAUGGUCAGUACCUAAAUGGGUGACUACUUCAGAAUGCUAGGUGCUGUAA